rnacentral:rRNA from 1 species
CGUAGGUAACCUGCCUGGUAGCGGGGGAUAACUAUUGGAAACGAUAGCUAAUACCGCAUAAUAUUGACUAUUGCAUGAUAGUCAAUUGAAAGGUGCAAAUGCACCACUACCAGAUGGACCUGCGUUGUAUUAGCUAGUUGGUGGGGUAACGGCUCACCAAGGCGACGAUACAUAGCCGACCUGAGAGGGUGAUCGGCCACACUGGGAUUGAGACACGGCCCAG